CAAGUGCGUCGGGCGAGCGCGCUAUCCGGUUUAUNAAACCGGAGGCGAGGAAAGUCCGAGCUCCGAAGGACAGGAUGCUGGGUAACGCCCAGGAGGGGUGACCCUACAGAAAGUGCAACAGAAAGAUACCGCCGUAAUUAAAUUAUAAAUCACGGCAAGGGUGAAAUGGUGAGGUAAGAGCUCACCGCAUUUGNGGCGACGCAAAUGGCAUGGCAAACCUCAUCCGGAGCAAAGCCAAAUAGGGGAAGAUGAGGUGGUCCGCCUCGUGAUCAUUCCCGGGUAGGUUGCAAUGAGGUGAUAGGUAACUAUCAUCCCAGAUAAAUGCUCGCACAGUGCAAUAUUUUUGCAUGGACAGAACUCGGCUUAUAGACGCACUUAAAAA
rnacentral:RNase_P_RNA from 1 species